GUGGGGAAUAUUGGACAAUGGGCGCAAGCCUGAUCCAGCCAUGCCGCGUGAGUGAUGAAGGCCUUAGGGUUGUAAAGCUCUUUCACCGAUGAUGAUAAUGACGGUAGUCGGAGAAGAAGCCCCGGCUAACUUCGUGCCAGCAGCCGCGGUAAUACGAAGGGGGCUAGCGUUGUUCGGAUUUACUGGGCGUAAAGCGCACGUAGGCGGUUUGUUAAGUCAGAGGUGAAAUCCCGGAGCUCAACUCCGGAACUGCCUUUGAUACUGGCAAGCUAGAGUCCGGAAGAGGUAAGUGGAACACCUAGUGUAGAGGUGGAAUUCGUAGAGAUUAGGAAGAACACCAGUGGCGAAGGCGGCUCACUGGUCCGGUACUGACGCUGAGGUGCGAAAGCGUGGGGAGCAAACAGGAUUAGAUACCCUAGUAGUCC
rnacentral:rRNA from 1 species